CUGGCCAAUGUACCAGCCCACAACUGCUGUUCACCUGAGUAACAAGGAGACACUGCCUGGCACACCAACACAUUGCUCACCAUGUUCAUGAGAAUUAUGUCCUUUGCACCUUGGGCCAGACUGGGGUUUCUUAACUUGUUUUUACUCUCCUGUUCCUGCAUAUUAGGUUCCCUUACCAGAGGUCUAUAAUAACAAGAAUUGUGAAGAACUCAGUUUAAGAUAAGGGGGAAACGAGAAACGUAGAGAAUGGAAACUGACAGGUUUGUGCAAGUCUAAUGGCAGGACACCACUUUUCUCUUGAAAAUACAGAGAACCUGCGAUCAGGAAAGGAGGGCUAGCUCCUGGAGAUGAGGCAUCGGAUUUUGCAACAAAAGCGUGAGUGGGGCUGCACUCUGCAGAGAAAAACAGGAGGCACAAUUUAUUAUUAUUUUAUCUGGCACGGAAAUAUAUUCUCCCCGGGUGAGCAUAGCCCCUUGCGCAACGUCUUCAGCGUUCCACAUCUAUUUUUCUCUCCUUUGCUGAAAGCUUUAUGUCAGCAACACUUCCUUUUUACAGAUACCCCCUAGAGUCUUUCGCACUCAAGGGCAGCCCUGAUGGGAAGAAGGUGUUUUCCGCCCUGCGGCUCUACAUUGUGAUUGCAGACUGCCUCCCCAGUCUCACAAACAAUGGCAUCGGAAUGGCUGCCGUCCCUUUUUAUAUUUUUUGAGCAGUAUAAAACUGUAAGUGGCUGCAAGAAGCGGUCACUGCUACAUGCUUUCCCACCCCUCUGUUUUAAAGCCAUUUUAAUCUAUUCCUGUCCUAUCUCUUCCUGUGUAGCAAGCAGCUACACCUUUCGGCUGCUUUCAGAGAAGCUUAAAAAAAAACACCUUCAGUUUCCAGCUUGGCUAGAAACCCUGUGAAUUAUGGGAAGGAUUUUUUUUUAAACUGUAUCUUCCUUGCCAGCUCUUGAAAUAAUCAACUCAAGCAGGGUUUGAAGACAGAGCUAGAGCAGACAGCCCUGCAAUGUCAAAAAAGAGGAUUUGCACCAUCUCCCUCCCCCCCCCAAAAGGAC